rnacentral:rRNA from 1 species
AGGAAGCCCCGGCUAACUACGUGCCAGCAGCCGCGGUAAUACGUAGGGGGCAAGCGUUGUCCGGAAUCAUUGGGCGUAAAGCGCGUGUAGGCGGCCAUCCAAGUCCGAUGUGAAAGCUCGGGGCUCAACCCCGAGUCUGCAUUGGAAACUGGCUGGCUAGAGUCCGAAAGAGGAGACUGGAAUUCCUGGUGUAGCGGUGAAAUGCGCAGAUAUCAGGAAGAACACCGGUGGCGAAGGCGGGUCUCUGGGACGGUACUGACGCUGAGACGCGAAAGCGUGGGGAGCAAACAGGAUUAGAUACCCUGGUAGUCCACGCCGUAAACGAUGGGCACUAGGUGUGGGAGGUGUCGACUCCUUCCGUGCCGUAGCUAACGCA